rnacentral:lncRNA from 1 species
CAUCAGCCCAGCCUGCAAGGAGGCGCCACCGGACCUGCACACUCAGGAGCAGGCUCAUAAAAUCCCCCAGACUCAGCUAGAUUGGAAGAGAGGAUGGGAAGACAAUGGAUGACCUACCUGUGGAGAGAAACUACCCAUUCCAGAACCUCCUCUCUGCUGAAAGCUGAACACUCAAUGGGAAGACCUGUUUGCAGAGAGGAGCCAGCCACUCCAGGGUCUCCGUUCUGCUAGAAGCUGAACACUCGUUGGGACACCCUUGCUGUGGAAAGGACAUCCUUACUGUGGAAAUGAGCUACUAACUGCAGGUCUCCUUCCUCUUCAUCUUCCUUAUCCUUCUGUUCCAUUGCUCAGUAAUGCUCCUCUUCAUCUGUCUCAUUCUCCACUUGUCUGCUUGAUGCAGGAGCUGAGGAGCUGCACAGCAAGGUUAAAAGAGCUGUAACACAAACAGGGCUGCAACAUGCCCCUUGCUCCCCACAGGGAGAGAAGAGCUCUGGCCCUCGGAGAAGCCCAGACCUGGGAGCUCCUUGAGCCCGGGCUGUGACUCCCUCUUUGGGGCCCUGGUUGGCGUCACUGCAUUCGCCAGUGCCACUGUUGGAAGCUGCUUGUGAUGCGCCUGGUCCAGGGGGAAGCUGUUUGUUGUGUGCCUGGUCCAGCCACCUCAUGGAGAGCCUGUGCUGGCACCUGGAGCUGCCCAACCUGGGCAGCAGCUUGUGUGUGUGACUGCACAGUGGCCACGCUUGCUCACACACCCCUAGCACACCCCUCUGCUCCACCCGUCUCAAUCUCCCUUGGAUCCGGGAUCCAGGUUGGUAGCAAGUGCGAGUGGGCAGAAGCAGCCCAGUGGGCCCAGAGCAAAACUCAGGCAAAGGUGCCACUAGACUGGCCAGGAAAGCGACACCCUAAAGAUCCCAUAAUGCUGAUAUGUUAAUUCUAUUCUAUAAGCACCACACAGAAGUGAUAGCUUUUAUUUCUUAUUUUGUCUAGCCUGGAGACAGAGCUAAGGAUUCCUUGAACUGCAAAGUCUUUUCCAGUUCUUAGUUUAUACAAUCCAUACUCACCUUCUGCCUAACUAAGCAUUGUCAUUUUUGUGCCAAAUGAAGAGUAGGACUCCUACGAUUGUCCUCAGACUCUCUUGGCUCAAUCCUCCUGCUUUAACCUUUCCUACUUCAAAAACUCCUGAAGUUUUGCUUCCCCUUCUAUAGAAUGGAAAUAUAUGUCGCAAUACUUACUGCAAAGAAAAUUAUAUAUUUUAAAAAUAGACUAAAGAGAUGUUGUGAGACAUCAGACAUCAAUCAGAUGUUGUGAGAACUGAUUUCUGCAUCAGAAUAUCUCCUUGACUUUACAGCUAUCCUUUAAUCCUGGCUCAAAGUUCCAGAAGAAAGAUGAUCCAAUAUAAUACUCCUAUUUGGACUUUGAGUCAUACACAUUCCUUCUUCUGAGAAAACGUGCUUCUGCAUGAAUCCUCCCUUCAUUAUUUUCAGCUCAUCUAUUAUUGAAUCUGAAACCCCAGGUUAACUGACUGAUCACUCUCAUCAGUGGCAGAUUUUGGUGUAACAUAGGACACAUCACUCCCAAUUCAGGUCAAGUCCCAAUUAUCUUGCCUCUCAAUAUGACAUGUUCAAUGUUGUAUUUCAUUCUACUUCAUUUUAAUGUAAAAAGUCUUUUCUGGUGAAGUCAGUCUUUUAUUUUCUCAUAAAAAUUCACCCUUUGGGUUUUUCAUAGGGUAUUCCCAUAACCAAACACACUUUACACUUUCCUAGUACAUAACCCAAUACUUUCUUCUUUCCCCACAGUCCUUACAUGAAGCCUACUCAGACCGACAUCACUGUAUCAUUUUUUUGUAUUCUGAAGUCCUUCAGCACUUGAUUCCUUUAAGUUUAAUCUUGGUAUUCUAUUGGGAAUCAUAUGGAAAUGUACAAUGAUAUUUAUUGAAUGAACAGGAAACAGGGAAAGACAUUGACCAGAAAAAGUGUUUAUUCAUCAAGUCUUUAAAGAUACAAAAACACGUGUCUUCUGUGGAGCUCUGAGAACAGGACUCCAGCAAAGCACUUUUCAGCCUUGUGGUCUUCAAGCAUUUCCAAGAUCUGUGACAUUGGAAAGAAAAAAAAUUAAGACAGAUUUGGGUCUCCAUGAGCAGAGAGUAUUCUUUCCCUUAGUUCUGGGUAGCAUAGUGCCCAAGGAAACCUAAUCAGUACAGUGGGAAACCAAAUCUAUUCCAAAUCAUUACCCAUAAGCAAUCCUAUGGACUCUCUGAGGUUUGACAGAGUCAGCGGCCCUCUCCAAUAAAUGUGUUUUUCUAU